AGAGAUAUAGUCCAAAGAUGCAUGUGGUAAUGUAAAGCAGAGACACACGUGAAGAUUCAACCAAUAGGUGGAGGCACAGCACGUGGCAUGAAGCUUUAAGAGAAUAAAGUGAUGAACUAACAGACCUUCCCUCUUCACCCCGAGCCUCAUCUUCCUCACAUUAGAGCCUGAAGAUGUUUUCACCCGUGCACACAUUUGGUUCUCUCUUCAUCUGGUUCUCAUGUCAGGUGAGCGCAGUUAUAUUUCAACAAUCUCCUCCCCAGAUCGUGAAGGACAGCACUGAGGUCCAGAUUAACUGCAGUCAUGACGAUACUUCCCUCUCAAUAAUGCUCUGGUAUGAGCACAGAACGGUCCAGGACAGUCUGCCUAUGACACUCAUUGGGUCUGGAUAUGACACCAGCGCCCCAAACUAUGAGGAUGGAGCUAAGAGUGUGACGUUUCAGCCGACUCAUCCAAGAAUAGUCGAUGACAAAGCCAGGGUAGACAUUAAAUGCAGUCAUAACGAUAACAACCUUGUUGUAAUGCUCUGGUACCAGCAAAAAGAAAGCGGUCUGGUGAAUUUAAUUGGAUACAGCUACACUGGCAGUCAACCCAACUAUGAGAAGCAGUUUGAAGAUCGGUUUGCAAUAACAAGACAAGACAUUGUAACAGGAGCUCUGAUUAUUCACAGUGUGAAUCUAUCAGACUCGGCUGUGUAUUUCUGCGCUGCCAGUACACAGUGAUGUGGUUUAAUGUC